rnacentral:rRNA from 1 species
UGGGGAAUUUUGGACAAUGGGGGAAACCCUGAUCCAGCCAUCCCGCGUGUGCGAUGAAGGCCUUCGGGUUGUAAAGCACUUUUGGCAGGAAAGAAACGUCGCGGGUUAAUACCCCGCGAAACUGACGGUACCUGCAGAAUAAGCACCGGCUAACUACGUGCCAGCAGCCGCGGUAAUACGUAGGGUGCAAGCGUUAAUCGGAAUUACUGGGCGUAAAGCGUGCGCAGGCGGUUCGGAAAGAAAGAUGUGAAAUCCCAGAGCUUAACUUUGGAACUGCAUUUUUAACUACCGGGCUAGAGUGUGUCAGAGGGAGGUGGAAUUCCGCGUGUAGCAGUGAAAUGCGUAGAUAUGCGGAGGAACACCGAUGGCGAAGGCAGCCUCCUGGGAUAACACUGACGCUCAUGCACGAAAGCGUGGGGGAGCAAACAGGAUUAGAUACCCUGGUAGUCCACGCCCUAAAACGAUGUCAACUAGCUAGUUGGGGCUUCGGGCCUUGGUAGCGCAGCUAACGCGUGAAGUUGACCGCCU